GACGAACGCUGGCGGCGUGCUUAACACAUGCAAGUCGAACGGAAAGGCCCUGCUUUUGUGGGGUGCUCGAGUGGCGAACGGGUGAGUAACACGUGAGUAACCUGCCCUUGACUUUGGGAUAACUUCAGGAAACUGGGGCUAAUACCGGAUAGGAGCUCCUGCUGCAUGGUGGGGGUUGGAAAGUUUCGGCGGUUGGGGAUGGACUCGCGGCUUAUCAGCUUGUUGGUGGGGUAGUGGCUUACCAAGGCUUUGACGGGUAGCCGGCCUGAGAGGGUGACCGGCCACAUUGGGACUGAGAUACGGCCCAGACUCCUACGGGAGGCAGCAGUGGGGAAUAUUGCACAAUGGGCGGAAGCCUAAUGCAGCAACGCCGCGUGCGGGAUGACGGCCUUCGGGUUGUAAACCGCUUUCGCUUGUGACGAAGCGUGAGUGACGGUAAUGGGUAAAGAAGCACCGGCUAACUACGUG
rnacentral:rRNA from 1 species